UGAGGAAUAUUGGGCAAUGCCCGCAAGGGUGACCCAGCAACGCCGCGUGGAGGAUGAAUGUCGUAAGAUUGUAAACUCCUGUUAGAGGGGAAGAAUAGUACCGGUUGGACCGGUAUAUGACUGUACCCUCAGAGAAAGCCCCGGCUAACUACGUGCCAGCAGCCGCGGUAAUACGUAGGGGGCAAGCGUUGUUCGGAUUUACUGGGCGUAAUGGGCGCGUAGGCGGCGCGGUAAGUCACUUGUGAAAUCUCUGAGCUUAACUCAGAACGGCCAAGUGAUACUGCUGUGCUAGAGUGCGGAAGAGGCAACCGGAAUUCUUGGUGUAGCGGUGAAAUGCGUAGAUAUCAAGAGGAACACCUGAGGCGAAGGCGGGUUGCUGGGCCGACACUGACGCUGAUGCGCGAAAGCCAGGGGAGCAAACG
rnacentral:rRNA from 1 species